CCUACGGGAGGCAGCAGUGGGGGAUAUUGCACAAUGGAGGGAACUCUGAUGCAGCGACGCCGCGUGGGUGAAGAAGGGCCUCGGAGCGUAAAGCCCUGUCAGCAGGGAAGAAAAUGACGGUAACUGAAGAGGACGCACCGGCUCACUACGUGCCAGCAGCCGCGGUACUACGUAGGGGGCAAGAGUUAGCCGGAUUUACUGGGGGUAAAGGGGGGGCAGACGGCGAUGCAAGCCAGGAGUGAAAGGCCGGGGCCCAACCCCGGGACUGCUUUUGGAACUGCGUGGCUUGAGUGCAGGAGGGGCAGGCGGAAUUCCUGGUGUAGCGGUGAAAUGCGUAGAUAUCAGGAGGAACACCGGUGGCGAAGGCGGCCUGCUGGACUGCAACUGACGUUGAGGCCCGAAAGCGUGGGGAGCAAACAGGAUUAGAUACCCCAGUAGUC
rnacentral:rRNA from 1 species